rnacentral:rRNA from 1 species
CACGAACCGUACGAACGUUAUUCGGAAUUACUGGGCUUAAAGGGUUUGUAGGCGGCCUUGUAAGUCAGGUGUGAAAUCCCUCGGCUCAACCGAGGAAUGGCGCUUGAUACUGCAAGGCUUGAGGGAGACAGGGGUAAGCGGAACUGAUGGUGGAGCGGUGAAAUGCGUUGAUAUCAUCAGGAACACCGGAGGCGAAGGCGGCUCACUGGGGGUUAUCUGACGCUGAGGAACGAAAGCCAGGGGAGCGAACGGG